rnacentral:misc_RNA from 1 species
UGGAAGGUUGCAUCAUUGCAUGAGACUAAUAGGUGCAGCAGAUCGUGGCAUGCAGAUGAUGGUUCAAAGGGCUCUUCAAAGAAGAGCUUUUGGAAAAUUAAUUGCUCAACAUGGCUCUUUUCUUUCUGAUGUUGCUAGAUGUCGAAUUGAUCUGGAGAAAACCAGAUUAUUAGUUCUCGAAGCUGCUGACCAGCUUGAUCGGCUUGGAAACAAAAGGGCCCGAGGUAAAAUUGCAAUGGCAAAGGUUGCUUCUCCAAAUAUGGCAUUGAAGGUUCUCGACACAGCAAUGCAAGUGCAUGGUGGUGCUGGUUUAUCCGGCGACACUGUUCUUGCACAUCUCUGGGCUACAGCAAGGACAUUAAGA